UCUCUAUUACGCUACUUCACUGUGACUGGUCAAUUGCUUUAGUGGGAGGGACCAAAUGCAGCUAUUUAGACCAGCACAGACAAAGUAUGUUUAGAAAAAGGGGAAACCUUGAAGAGAGAAGCAUUUGAAUCCAACAGAAGCUGCAUAGUGUGAGGAGAAAAGUCAUUUUUGACAUUUUACUUCAAGAAAAUAUGAAGUGGCCAGCGAUUUUUGUCUUGCUGAGCAUAUGCUCACAGGCUGCAGCACAAGAUAUCGAAGUAUCCGUGUUCUCUGCAACAUCGAAGAGCGCGAUUCUCAGAUGGACCAGGGUCUACGGAGCCAGCUCAUACAAGGUCAUCGCCGCCCCCCAGAACUCCCCAGGCAACCCCGUUGGUUAUGCCGUGUUUGGUCCACACACAGUGAUGGGCACCAUCAACUCUCUGUCCCCAAACAUCAUUUAUACAUUCACAGUUGCAGCUCUGGAUAAUGCUCAAGAGAUACUAAACAUUGGAACUAUCGAUUCUUCCUCAGCUCCUGAGGUGAUGGAUCCCCUCCUGACAAUGAAGUCAAAGGACAGCAAGACUUUUAUCGUGUCUUUCAGCUUGAAGACCGGGGCGACAUCUUACAUCAUACGAUUGCAGAAUCCCAACCGCUUCAUCAGAGAAAACAUUGUGUCCUCCUCCCCCGCUGAGAUUGAGUCCCUCGACCCGUACACAGAGUACUCACUCAGCAUCAUGUCUGUGAACAGUGGAGGUCAGAGCCAGCCAUCUUCCCCUGUGACUGCAAAGACAGUGUUGCCCCCUCCUCAGCUCUCCGCCUCCUCUCCCAGCAACAACAGCAUCACUGUGUCCUGGGCUCCUGUUGCCAACGCUGUCCAGUACAGCCUGUCUCUGUACAAGUUUGCCUGGAACACCACCAUCAUCAAGCACAACACUUCCAACACCAAUUGGAUCGUCUCCGGCCUGGAUAUGGGCUCAGUCUACGUCAUAAAGGGUUUCGCCUGGGACCCCGAGGGCCGCCAGGGAGAGGACAGUCUGUACAUCGACCAGAUGACAAGACCUGCUGUGCCAUCUAUUGCCAAUGUCUCCAUGGUGAUGAAUAACGGUUUGGCCGGUAUCUCAGUGUCCUUGGAACGGGAUGAGGGGGUCUUUGGGUCCCUCCAGUACCAUGUGAUGAGCGACCAGAACCUCACCUGUAACUCCACAUCCAGCUCCUGCACCCUGUCUCCAGUGGGCUGCGGAGAGGUACACACCGUCCGGGUCAGCACCUCCGACGAGGCCGGGCCCAGCGAUCCAUCCGGCCCCGUGGUGUUCAUCACCUUCCCCUGCCCCCCACAGUCUCUGGCUGUUGUGGAGUCGACAGAAGGAAGCUGCACGCUGACCUGGGACACGGUGACUCACGUCAACAGCUACACAGCCUUCAUCAAGAGAGGAGACGGUGCAGAGGAGAGCUGCAACACCACCAGCAGGAGCUGCACCUACAACUGCACAUGUGGCCACACAUACCUGAUGUCUGUGAUGGCCUUCAACCAGGCUGGCAGCAGUCCUGAAGGACAGGUUCUCAACUACACCACCUUGCCCUGUUGUCCAGAGGGUGUAUCCAUCUCCGCCGUGAGCACUGACACGUUUGAGAUCACGUGGACGGUCUCUCGGGGGGCAGAGCUGUACCAGACUCGAGCUGCAGACAGUUCAGAGGUCAUCCUGUGUAACGACACGGCUCCGGUGUGCGCCCUCUCUGACCUCAGCUGCGACAGUUCCUACAGCGUGGUGUUGACACCCUGCAACGACAUCAGUGGAUGCAACCGGGCAUGCAAAGCUCACACACAAAUCACAGCUCCAUGCAUGCCGAUGAAUCUGAUGUUGACUCAGAGAAACUCCUCCUGCUUCAGUGUCAGCUGGACUCCAAACAACAGGCUUGCUAAUUACACCGUGACAGCGUCGGGAGAUGACGGCACACGCACCUGCAACACAGACGGAAACAGCUGCGACAUCACUGACCUUCCUUGUGGCUCUAACUUUGAAGUCAGCGUCAUAGCAACCAGCCCCGCAGGCUUGGGUUUACCCAGCUACUCUGAAUUGUUGGAAACAGGACCGUGCUGCCCGGUGGAUCUGACGGUGGAUCAGGUGACGCAGGCAAUGAGCAAUGUGUCAUGGUCUCCCGCUAAAGGGGCGCAUACAUUCAUCACUUCCCUAACAUCAACGCGUGGUCACGCCCGCUGCCACACCAUGGACUCCCACUGCCUCAUGGGAUGCAUCACCUGUGGGACCAACUACACCGUCACCAUGGAGGCGAUCAGCCACAGCGGGCGCCGGUCAAACUGCUCCUAUGAGGGCUUCUCGUCCACUCUAUCCAGUCAUGUCGCGGAGGGUCUGUUGACUGUAUCGUGUGGAGAAAUCCACAAUGUUUGCAGUACCGAAGGCAGAACCACGACGAAGUCAGUGGUUGACAUUCCUUUUUAACACUGUUCCAGCUGAUUUACCAGCCGGUACUGUUGUGUAUGCGCGGCAUUUCACGGACCAAAGCUUUAAAAACUUAACAAUGUUUAGCUUCGGACUUGCAAAGCUGAUAUUGGAGGACGACGCUGUUCCUACUUUGUUUGGACCAGCGGGAGAUUCGGGUACACAACCUGCAUCCAGGCCACGGUGUCUUUCAAAAGUGUUGGCACUAAAACUUCCACCUACAAAGAAAUCCCCUUGUCCUCUACACCAAUAAAGGGCCCAGGCUUGGGACCUAGCAAGAGACCUCGACUAGAGUUGGAGGAGGAACAAGCGGGAACAAGGAGGAGACGUCGACAGAAUUUGAGGAGACUCUGGGUUCGAGUUACCACCCUGAUGAUACUGUAGAAGAAUGCGACGUAUCACCACAGGCACAAUCCACGCACCGUGACGUAAAGUACAUUGUUUUUUAAAGCUGCCUCAGACAGCUGUUUGAAAAAUGUCCGUUGUGUAAGACAGACUGUGAUGUCCAAACAAGAAAAGUGGGGACCUGUGGCGUUCACACAGCGUUGUUCAAACUGCAGUUACUUCAGAAAAUGGGAGAGCCAGCCCGUCAUCGGAAGUACCCCGGUUGGCAACUUACAAUUAUCCGCUGCUACAUACUUCACUGGGGGUUCCUUCUUCCAACUACGAAAGAUAUGCAGAGCCAUGCAGCUGGAGAUCAUCGGGUAUGGGACCUUCAGGAGGCAUGCUAAGAGUUACCUGGAGCCUGCUAUUAUCCACAAGUGGAACACUGAUCAGCAGCAGAAUUUCGAUAAUCUACAACAACAGGGGGGAAAGGUUGCAGGAGAUAUGAGAGCCGGAGAAGGUGACAAGGUGGACGUCACUGGUCAACCACCUACAAAACGUUCACGUGCAUGAUGACCCCCUGUUCCCCAAGUGCACACAUUCUGUAGGAGCCGCAAGCGAUGCAAAUAAACCUUACCUAAAAGGUGGCUCAAUAACACUCGCCAGAGUUGAAACGAUACUCACCAACAAGAGAGUUCUCAAAGAUGUGCUAAAGCUAAGCCAUCACUACCAGACCUCAUCCCUGGAGUCCUUUCACAACUUAAUUCUGCGUUUUCCCCCAAAAAUGUGGUUUUCCCCUUCAUUGGAAUGUUGUGCAGGUUGUGUCUAGCAGCAAUGCAUCACAACGAGAAUGCUGGGCGUGACCAAGCGACAACUGCUGCAGGAAAACUUGUCUUCAAAUUGGCUUAUCCAAAAUCAAAGAGGGGAGAGUGUACGGUCAAGCCUGUUAAGAACGACCCUACAUACAUCUAUGUGGAUGAGCUGACGAGGCUUGUGUUUCACAAAGUCUUUCUGGACCCUACACCCUUUGUGUACGAGCUGAAACGAAUCCACGUCUCAACUCAAUUUGACAGGCCCCCCAGAAAUGAUUGUCAGCCGUUUCCCCC